CUGAAACCGUGUACGUACAAGCAGUGGGAGCACGCUUAGGCGUGUGACUGCGUACCUUUUGUAUAAUGGGUCAGCGACUUAUAUUCUGUAGCAAGGUUAACCGAAUAGGGGAGCCGAAGGGAAACCGAGUCUUAACUGGGCGUUAAGUUGCAGGGUAUAGACCCGAAACCCGGUGAUCUAGCCAUGGGCAGGUUGAAGGUUGGGUAACACUAACUGGAGGACCGAACCGACUAAUGUUGAAAAAUUAGCGGAUGACUUGUGGCUGGGGGUGAAAGGCCAAUCAAACCGGGAGAUAGCUGGUUCUCCCCGAAAGCUAUUUAGGUAGCGCCUCGUGAAUUCAUCUCCGGGGGUAGAGCACUGUUUCGGCAAGGGGGUCAUCCCGACUUACCAACCCGAUGCAAACUGCGAAUACCGGAGAAUGUUAUCACGGGAGACACACGGCGGGUGCUAACGUCCGUCGUGAAGAGGGAAACAACCCAGACCGCCAGCUAAGGUCCCAAAGUCAUGGUUAAGUGGGAAACGAUGUGGGAAGGCCCAGACAGCCAGGAUGUUGGCUUAGAAGCAGCCAUCAUUUAAAGAAAGCGUAAUAGCUCACUGGUCGAGUCGGCCUGCGCGGAAGAUGUAACGGGGCUAAACCAUGCACCGAAGCUGCGGCAGCGACGCUUAUGCGUUGUUGGGUAGGGGAGCGUUCUGUAAGCCUGCGAAGGUGUGCUGUGAGGCAUGCUGGAGGUAUCAGAAGUGCGAAUGCUGACAUAAGUAACGAUAAAGCGGGUGAAAAGCCCGCUCGCCGGAAGACCAAGGGUUCCUGUCCAACGUUAAUCGGGGCAGGGUGAGUCGACCCCUAAGGCGAGGCCGAAAGGCGUAGUCGAUGGGAAACAGGUUAAUAUUCCUGUACUUGGUGUUACUGCGAAGGGGGGACGGAGAAGGCUAUGUUGGCCGGGCGACGGUUGUCCCGGUUUAAGCGUGUAGGCUGGUUUUCCAGGCAAAUCCGGAAAAUCAAGGCUGAGGCGUGAUGACGAGGCACUACGGUGCUGAAGCAACAAAUGCCAUGCUUCCAGGAAAAGCCUCUAAGCAUCAGGUAACAUCAAAUCGUACCCCAAACCGACACAGGUGGUCAGGUAGAGAAUACCAAGGCGCUUGAGAGAACUCGGGUGAAGGAACUAGGCAAAAUGGUGCCGUAACUUCGGGAGAAGGCACGCUGAUAUGUAGGUGAAGCGACUUGCUCGUGGAGCUGAAAUCAGUCGAAGAUACCAGCUGGCUGCAACUGUUUAUUAAAAACACAGCACUGUGCAAACACGAAAGUGGACGUAUACGGUGUGACGCCUGCCCGGUGCCGGAAGGUUAAUUGAUGGGGUCAGCGCAAGCGAAGCUCUUGAUCGAAGCCCCGGUAAACGGCGGCCGUAACUAUAACGGUCCUAAGGUAGCGAAAUUCCUUGUCGGGUAAGUUCCGACCUG
rnacentral:rRNA from 1 species